rnacentral:rRNA from 1 species
AUUAAACGCUGGCGGCAUGCCUUACACAUGCAAGUCGAACGGCAGCACGGGAGCUUGCUCCUGGUGGCGAGUGGCGGACGGGUGAGUAAUACAUCGGAACGUGCCCUGGAGUGGGGGAUAACGCAGCGAAAGCUACGCUAAUACCGCAUAUUCUGUGAGCAGGAAAGCAGGGGAUCGCAAGACCUUGCACUCUAGGAGCGGCCGAUGUCGGAUUAGCUAGUUGGUGGGGUAAAGGCCCACCAAGGCGACGAUCCGUAGCGGGUCUGAGAGGAUGAUCCGCCACACUGGGACUGAGACACGGCCCAGACUCCUACGGGAGGCAGCAGUGGGGAAUUUUGGACAAUGGGCGGAAGCCUGAUCCAGCCAUGCCGCGUGAGUGAAGAAGGCCUCGG